UGUAUUUGUUAAAAGUCCUCUAUAUUUCUGAUUCUCUUGGUUGGAAUUGGACUUUAUAGUGGAUUGCGAGGCAACUCUUAUUAUAUUGCUAUCAACUUCAGUCAUCCACUGGCUGAGCAACAGAUAAAAGCUGUGGACAGAGUUUUGUCAGAACUAGAUGUGUCUUCGAUACCAAGGUUGAUGGUGUGGAACAAGGUUGAUAAGGUGAGCGAUCCUGACAGCAUCAGAACAGAAGCAGAAAAGAGAGAUGAUGUUGUUUGCAUAUCUGCUCUGAGUAGCCAGGGCUUGAAUGAUUUCUGCAGUGCAAUCCAGGAAAAAUUGAAGGACUCUAUGGUAUGGGUGGAAGCCUUGAUCCCAUUUGAAAAAGGAGAGCUUCUUAGUACCAUACAUAAGGUUGGAAUGGUG